CCUACGGGAGGCUGCAGUGGGGAAUAUUGGACAAUGGGGGCAACCCUGAUCCAGCCAUGCCGCGUGGGUGAUGAAGGCCUUAGGGUUGUAAAGCCCUUUCGGCGGGGAAGCGGUACCCGCAGAAGAAGCCCCGGCUAACUUCGUGCCAGCAGCCGCGGUAAUACGAAGGGGGCUAGCGUUGCUCGGAAUCACUGGGCGUAAAGCGCACGUAGGCGGAUUCCUAAGUCGGGGGUGAAAUCCUGGAGCUCAACUCCAGAACUGCCUUCGAUACUGGGAAUCUUGAGUCCGGAAGAGGUGAGUGGAACUGCGAGUGUAGAGGUGAAAUUCGUAGAUAUUCGCAAGAACACCAGUGGCGAAGGCGGCUCACUGGUCCGGACUGACGCUGAGGUGCGAAAGCGUGGGGAGCAAACAGGAUUAAUACCCUUGUAGUC
rnacentral:rRNA from 1 species